UACGUAGGGGCCUAGCGUUGUCCGGAAUUAUUGGGCGUAAAGAGCUCGUAGGUGGUUCGGCAAGUCGGAUGUGAAAUCUCCACGCUUAACGUGGAGGGGCCAUUCGAAACUGCUGUGACUUGAGUCCGGUAGGGGAGUGUGGAAUUCCCGGUGUAGCGGUGAAAUGCGCAGAUAUCAGGAGGAACACCGGUGGCGAAGGCGGGUCUCUGGGCAGUAACUGACGCUGAGGAGCGAAAGCGUGGGGAGCGAACAGG
rnacentral:rRNA from 1 species